GAUGUUUAUUUCCCAAACACAGAAAAAGAUUAUCUUGUUUAUUGCAGCCUUUCUAUUAAGGCACAACCAAGACUAGGAAUAUGCAGUACAGGUGUAAUAACUACAUUACAAGUUCCUUAUCCAGGUUGUUCAAAUAUUCCUAAAUAUGCACAAGAAUAUUGUGAUAAGUCUUCAA
rnacentral:lncRNA from 1 species